AAGGAACUCAGACACAGGUGAGAGAGGGUGACAGGUACAGGUGAGAGACCGGUACAGGGUGACGGAGAGACAUCGAUGAUGACAGCAGCUUUAGCAAAAUACCUUUUCAACAAGAAGAACCGGAAACUAUGAGAUGGUAACCAAGAGGUAACCAGACACACAGUGAGGCAUUCAUGAUCCACAAGAACAUCUAGGAGA